ensembl:lncRNA
CUCCCCUCCACCUCCCCUCCCCAUCGCCUGCACCACCCCCCAGCCUGCAGCCCCCGAUGCUCUCCUCCUCCUGCCACCUGUCAUUGGACAGGGCACGCCUUUGAGGAGUCUCUCUUCCGACGGGCGGGGAGGAGAAGGGCAUGUUUUAACCCGACUGUUAACGCUUUCUGUCCCUCGGAAAGGAAGAAACACAUCUGUGGGGUGGACGCAAAACUACUCGGAGAAGACUAAGCUGGCAGCCUGUGCGGCAGCACCAUCAAUUUCUUCAUCGUCAUCAUCCAAAAACGUCUGAUUGCCUGCGGCACCCAAGUCUGGCAGUUUGCUGUACUUCUGCAAAGGAAUUGAUGAACUGGCUUUGUUCUCUUACUUCAAUGGAGACCUAUGAACAGAAGAAAGAAAUGAAAGAACAGCUGAAUAGUGGGAAUAUUUCACAGAGACCUGGAAAUAUUUGAUGGUAACAAUGAUUCAUUCAACAGAAUCUAUCUAAAAAUAUUUAUUAGAUGCCAAGUCUGUUUUUACAUAUGUCUGCUUUAUUUGACACUCCAUCAACCAAAAAUCACAUUUCUACCCUGGCACAUCCUCACUUUUUCUGCUAAGUAUCAAUUCAUAUUUAUAACAAAAAAGGCAUUUACACUACUGGAGAGCUUCAGCGUGCAGGAUCUGUUCUGGUUUGAACUUUUCAGCCUUUUGUCCUGUGUAACAUUAGACAUUCGUGUAACCUCACCAACCCCUAUACUUCUCAUCUCUAAAACUGGAGUCAAGCUUUGAUUCGAAAUUAUCUUACAAUGAUAGGUAAUGCCACUUAGUAUCCAGAUCUUGUUUUCUAAAUACUGUCUCCAUCGAAAGAAACAAGGGCUCCUUUGGAAAAGUGGCUGACUAUAGGACUGAGAGGGAAGUUCAGUUCAGUUCAGUCACUCAGUCGUGUCCAACUCUGCAUCCCAUUGACGGCAGCAUGGACAAGCCUCCCUGUCCGUCACCAACUCCCAGAAUUUACUCAAAAUCACAUCAAUAGAGUCAGUGAUGCCAUCCAGCCAUCUCAUCCUCUGUCGUCCCCUUCUCCUCCGGCCUUCAGUCUUUCCCAGCAUCAGGGUCUUUUCCAGUGAGUCAGUUCUUCGCAUCAGGUGGCCAGAAUAUUGGAGUUUCAGCUUCAGCAUCAGUUCUUCAUAUAUUCAGAACUGAUCUCCUUUAGGAUGAACUAGUUUGAUCUCCUUGCAGUCCAAGAGACUCUCAAGAGUCUUCUGCAACACCACAGUUCAAAAGCAUCAAUUCUUCGGUGUUCAGCUUUUCUUAUAGUCCAACUCUCACAUCCAUACAUGACUACUGCAAAAUCCACAGCUUUGACUAGAUGGAACUUUGUUGGCAAGGUAAUGUCUCUGCCUUUUAAUAUGCUGUCUGGGUUGGUCAUAACUUUUCUUCCAAGGAGCAAGCCUCUUUUAAUGUCAUGGCUGCAGUCACCAUCUGCAGUGAUUUUGGAGCCCCCCCAAAAUAAAGUCUCUCACUGUUUCCAUUGUUUCCUCAUCUAUUGCCAUGAAGUGAUGGGACCGGAUACCAUGAUCUUAGUUUUCUGAAUGUUGAGUUUUAAGCCAACCUUUUCACUUUCGUCAAGAGGCUCUUUAGUUUUUCUCCCCUUUCUGCCAUAAGGGCUAUGUCAUCUGCAUAUCUGAGUUUAUUGAUAUUUCCCCCCGGCAAUCUUGAUUCCAGCUUGUGCUUCAUCCAACCCAGCGUUUCUCAUGAUGUACUCUGCAUAUAAGUUAAAUAAGCAGGGUGACAAUAUACAGCCUUGACGUACUCCUUUUCCAAUUUGGAACCAGUCUGUUGUUCCAUGUCCAGUUCUAACUGUUGCUUCCUGACCUGCAUACAGAUUUCUCAGGAGGCAGGUCAGGUGGUCUGGGAUUCCCAUCUCUUCCAGAAUGCUCCAGUUUAUUAUGAUCCACACAGUCAAAAGCUUUGACAUAGUCAAUAAAGCAGAAAUAGAUGUUUUUCUGGAACUCUCUUGCUUUAUCGAUGAUCCAACGGAUGUUGGCAAUUUGAUCUCUGGUUCCUCUGCCUUUUCUAAAUCCAGCUUGAACAUCUGGAAUUUCAUGGUUCAUGUACUGUUGAAGCCUGGCUUGGAGAAUUUUGAGCAUUACUUUACUAGCAUGUGAGAUGAGUGCAAUUGUGCGGUAGUUUGAGCACUCCUUGGCAUUGCCUUUCUUUGGGAUUGGAAUGAAAACUGACUUUUUCCAGUCCUGUGGCCACUGCUGAGUUCUCCAAAUUUUCUGGCAUAUUGAGUGCAGCACUUUCACAGCAUCAUCUUUCAGGAUUUGAAAUAGCUCAACUGGAAUUCCAUCACCUCCACUAGCUUUGUUCGUAGUGAUGCUUCCUAAGGCCCAUUUGACUUCACUUUCCAGGAUGCCUGGUUCUAGGUGAAUGAUCACACCAUUGUGGUUAUCUGGGUCAUGAAGAUCUUUUUUGUAUAGUUCUGUGUAUUCUUGCCACCUCUUCUUAAUAUCUUUUGCUUCUGUUAGGUCCGUACCAUUUCUGUCCUUUAUUUAGCCCAUCUUUGCAUGAAACAUUCCCUUGAUAUCUAUAAUUUUCUUGAAGAGAUCUCUAGUCUUUCCCGUUCUAUUAUUUUUCUCUAUUUCUUUACAUGGAUCACUGAGGAAGGUUUUCUUAUCUCUCCUUGCUAUUCUUUGGAACUCUGCAUUCAAAUGGGUAUAUCUUUCCUUUUCUCCUUUGCCUUUUGCAUCUUUUCUUUUCUCAGCUAUUUGUAACGCCUCCUCAGACAACCAUUCUGCCUUUUUGCAUUUCUUUUUCUUUUUCUUGAUCACUGCCUCCUGUACAAUGUCACAAACUUCUGCCCAUAGUUCUUCAGGCACUCUGUCUAUCAGAUUUAAUCCCUUGAAUCUAUUUGUCACUUCCACUGUAUAAUCAUAAGGGAUUUGAUUUAGAUCAUAUCUGAAUUGUCUAGUGGUUUUCCCUACUUUCUUCAAUUUAAGUCUGAAUUUGGCAAUAGGGAGUUCAUGAUCUGAGCCACAGUCAGCUCCCAGUCUUGUUUUUGCUGAGUGUAUAGAGCUUCUCUAUCUUUGGCUGCAAAGAAUAUAAUCAGUCUGAUUUCGGCGUUGACCAUCUGGUGAUGUCCGUGUGUAGAGCCGUCUCUUGUGUUGUUGGAAAAGGGUGUUUGCUAUAACCAGUGUGUUCUCUUGGCAAAACUCUGUUAGCCUUUGCCCUGCUUCAUUUUGUACUCCAAGGUCAAAUGUGCCUGUUACUCCAGGUGUUUCUUGACUUCCUACUUUUGCAUUCCAGUCCCCUAUAAUAAAAAGGACAUCUUUUUUGGGUGUUAGUUCUGUAAGGUCUUGUAGGUCUUCACAGAACCAUUCAACUUCAGCUUCUUCAGCAUUACUGGUCGGAGCAUGGACUUGGAUUACUGUGAUAUUGAAUGGUUUGUCUUGGAAACAAACAGAGAUCACUCUGUCGUUUUUGAGAUUGCAUCCAAGUACUGCAUUUUGGACUCUUUUGUUGACUAUGAUGGCUACUCUAUUUCUUCUAAGGGAUUCUUGCCUAUAAUAGUAGAUAUAAUGGUCAUCUGAGUUAAAUUCACCCAUUCCAGUCCAUUUUAGUUCACUGAUUCCUAAAAUGUUGAUGUUCACUCUUGCCAUCUCCUGUUUGACCACUUCCAAUUUGCCUUGAUUCAUGGACCUAACAUUCCAGGUUCCUAUGCAAUAUUGCUCUUACAGCAGCAGACUUUACUUCCAUCACCAGUCACAUCCACAACCCGGUGUUGUUUUUGCUUUGGGUCCGUUUAUUUCCACACCGAUUUCCAGUAGCAUAUUGGACACCUACCAAUCUGGGGAGUUCAUCUUUCAGUUUCCUAUCUUAUUGCCUUAAAACACAGGAUAAAUCUGAAACAUUUUGGUUCUUCCAAAAAGUAAGAAAUUAUCCCCAAAAGGACAACAGCUCAUUGAAAAACCACAUGAGCUAAUCUGAAAGAGCUCCCAAUGGCCAGAGCUAAAGCAACUCGAGCAGCAAAAAACUCAAAACAGUAUUCUAGUUCAUAGAAUAAAAUAUUCCUGAGUCAAUAUUGAUAUAAAUAAAUUGUCAAAUGAAUAAAUAAAAAUGGGAAAGGGACAACUCUUCUUUACAGGAAAAUUAAAAUUAAUAAAUGAGGAAAUGAGGCACAUAGAACAAUCACCUUCAGAACAGCAUGAGUAGCAUUCACAGAUGGAUGCUAAAAUUAGUUGACAGAAGUUUGACGGGAAACAGAUUAUUUGAAUGGGUUGCAAGUAUCUCCCCCAAGACACUUGUUAAUUACAAUGGGGCCAUAGUUACUUGACAGUGGGAAAACCCAGCAAACACCACCUUACCCAAAUGUUCAUGGUCAGCAUCACCAAUUAUAAGACACACUGGCAUCACGGACCCCUGGGUAUGAUACACUGAGACGGGCACAUCACUGCUAUGCACUCUUGAUAAAAUCUUUGAUCUAAUCAUAAGAAAACAUCAAACAAACCCAGUUUGAGAGACAUGCUGUGAAAAAUAACUGAUGAGAGUGCUCCAAAAGCAUCAAGGUGAUGAAAGACUGGGAAAGCCAGAGGAGUUUUCAGAGCUUAGAGGAUACUGAAGAGAAGUGCCCAGCAGAUGGAAUGUGGAGUCCUGGACUGCAGCCUGGAACAGGAAAAGGGCACCAGUGUUCCUGAAAGAGGAGAAGGCAAGGGGCAUGAAGCCCUCAUCACCUGGCAGGAGGGCACCAGCAUCCGCUUCUGUUCCCCUCCUGCUGUGCAAAUACUGUCAUUUUCUACACGUGCCAUGGUGGGAUAGAAGCAGCACAGAGGCCGAAGACUAGACCAAUGGCGAAUCUUUCCAUUAACCCUGCUGCUUCCAUCUUGCAGACUGGCAGGUGGCCAGGGGCAGCCUCUGAAAUCAGUGACCCCAACCAGACUGGGGUUGGUGUGUUCUACACAGACCCUCACACCUGUGGACUCCAGUUUGGGCCUGGUUUUAUCUUCAGGAGACAGCCCAGAACUUACUAAAACAUCUAGUGUACUAAGAAAAGCUCUGGGAUAAAACACAUCUGAGUUUAAAAUCCCACUUACAGCUGUAUGACUUAAAGUAAAUUAAUCUCUCUGAUCCUUGGUUUCCGCAUCUAUCAGUGUGGAUUAGUAAUGGUACUUAACAUUAAGUGUUGAUUGGGAGGAUUAAAUGAGACAUAGUAAAGACUCAGUCACAGGUUGUUUGCCUCUUUCUACACCUGUAUCUUAGGUGGUGUUGGCAAAUUAAUGGCAGGCUACUUGGAGGCAUUAGGCUUCCGUCUAAAGUGAGAGGCAGCCUGGCUGAGUUAGGUUGUUCAUUCUGUUGUGGUGGAAAGGCAUCAUUAACAACACCGCAAUGGCCCCUUCAUACAGAGACUAGAUGUGGGCAUGCUCUAUGUCCCCCUGUUAUGUCCAACUCUUUGGGACCCCAUGGACUGUAGUCCACCAGGCUCCUUGUCCAUGCAGUAUUCUAGGCAAGAAUACUGGAGUGGGUUGCCAUUUCCGACUCCACAGUGACUAGGUAAUAAACAUUAAAAGUUAAACGCAGAUUUAAAGAAAAACGAAAACCCAAAUAGAUCAGAGGUCAGAACUUAGAUGGGCUCUUGAGACUGAAAGAGGAAAAGGCAGAGUAAGGAUGGGGCAAACUGAUUGUUUCUAUUCAAUAUCCAUCUUCCUAGACUUCCUCAGUAAUGAACUUGAGUGUGUGCAUGGUGGCCACUUACCAGCCAAAAUUUUGGUAUUAUAUUUUCCAGCUUCCCUUGCAGAGGGUUGUGUCCACUUGACAAAUUUAUGGCCACUGAAAUAUAAAUGGAUGAUGUUUGGUAGAACUUCCAGGAAGGAGAUGUACUCUUGUUCAGUUCUUUCUGCUUCCUACUUGGAAGUCAGGUUUAAUGACUGGAGUUAUCGUGACCAUGCCUGAAGCAUGAGGCAGCCUUGAGGUGGAAACCACAGCUAAAAGUGUGAGAUAAAACCCUAAGUUCUUGAUGACAUAAAGAAUCACCAACCAGGCCUGGACCACCUACCUCCAAGUGUGUUAGCUGCUCAGUCAUGCCCUAUUCUUUGCAACCCCUGGACUGUAGCCCACCAGGCUCCUCUGUCCAUGGAAUUUUCCAGGCAAGAAUAUUGGAGUGGGUUGCCAGUUCCUCCUCCAGGGGAUCUUCCUGACCCAGGGAUCAAACCCAAGUCUCCUGCAUCUGGUGGCAGGUGGAUUCUUUACCACUAAGGCAUCUGGGGAACCCUACUUAUCUCCAAACUUCAUGUUGAUUAUGCAUUAUUUCCAGACUGUUAGUAGCAGACAAUAGAAAUUCCUAGCUGAUACAGGAAUAUAUGAAGUAAAAUUUGAUCAUUGAUGUUGAUCAUCACAGUGAGAAGGAUAAAUCCUUUUGGUGACCUUGACCUAUUCUUAGCCCGG